rnacentral:rRNA from 1 species
AACCACACCCCUACGGGAUACAGCAGUGACUAACAUUAAGCUAUAAACGAAAGUUUGACUGAGUCAUAAUUUAACAGGGUUGGUAAAUUUCGUGCCAGCCACCGCGGUCAUACGAUUAACCCAAAUUAACAGAUCACCGGCGUAAAGCGUGUUUAAGUAUAAUACUCUAAUAAAGUUAAAACCUGACUAAGCUGUAAAACGUUAUAGUUAAUACCAAAAUAUGCAACUAAAGUGACUUUAAUCUGCACUGAACACACGAUAGCUAAGGCACAAACUGGGAUUAGAUACCCCACUAUGCUUAGCCCUAAACCCAAAUAGUUAAAAAACAAAACUAUUCGCCAGGGAACUACUAGCUAAUGCUUAAAACUCAAAGGACUUGGCGGUGCCCUAAACCCACCUAGAGGAGCCUGUUCUAUAAUCGAUAAACCCCGAUAAACCCCACCUCUUCUUGCCAAUACAGCCUAUAUACCGCCAUCGUCAGCUCACCCCAAUAGGGAUCCAAAGUAGGCAAAACUAUAAAACCAUAAAAACGUUAGGUCAAGGUGUAGCAUAUGAAGAGGGAAGCAAUGGGCUACAUUUUCUAAACUAGAACAUAACGAACGGCCUUAUGAAAUUUAAGACCUGAAGGAGGAUUUAGUAGUAAAUUAGGAAUAGAGAG